rnacentral:rRNA from 1 species
GAUGAACGCUGGCGGCGUGCUUAACACAUGCAAGUCGAACGGAAAGGCUCCUGCUUGCAGGGGUACUCGAGUGGCGAACGGGUGAGUAACACGUGGGUGAUCUGCCCUGCACUUCGGGAUAAGCCUGGGAAACUGGGGCUAAUACCGGAUAGGACGAUGGGUUGGAUGCCAUUGUGGAAAGUUUUUCGGUGUGGGAUGAGCUCGCGGCGUAUCAGCUUGUUGGUGGGGUAAUGGCCUACCAAGGCGUCGACGGGUAGCCGGCCUGAGAGGGUGUACGGCCACAUUGGGACUGAGAUACGGCCCAGACUCCUACGGGAGGCAGCAGUGGGGAAUAUUGCACAAUGGGCGCAAGCCUGAUGCAGCGACGCCGCGUGGGGGAUGACGGCCUUCGGGUUGUAAACUCCUUUCGCUAGGGACGAAGCGCAAGUGACGGUACCUGGAGAAGAAGCACCGGCUAACUACGUG